rnacentral:rRNA from 1 species
ACUCCUACGGGAGGCAGCAGUGGGGAAUCUUGGACAAUGGGCGCAAGCCUGAUCCAGCCAUGCCGCGUGAGUGAUGAAGGCCUUAGGGUCGUAAAGCUCUUUCGCCUGUGAAGAUAAUGACUGUAGCAGGUAAAGAAACCCGCGUACAUCCGUGCCAGCAGCCGCGGUAAUACGGAGGGGGUUAGCGUUGUUCGGAAUUACUGGGCGUAAAGCGCGCGUAGGCUGACUAUUAAGUCAGGGGUGAAAUCCC